GGAGGUGUGGCAGAGCGGUCAAAUGCACCGGACUGUAAAUCCGGCGGGCUGAGCCCUACGGUGGUUCGAAUCCAUCCACCUCCACCA
rnacentral:tRNA from 1 species